AAUCAAGCGCAAAAGGGCAUUUAGUGGAUGCCUUGGCAUUAAGAGGCGAUGAAGGACGCGGCAGGCUGCGAUAAUCUAAGGGGAGUUGUCAACACACUUUGAUCCUUAGGUCUCCGAAUGGGGAAACCCGGCUCUUUAGAGUCACUUAUUUAUGAAUACAUAGUAAAUAAGAGUAAACCUAGUGAAUUGAAAUAUCUUAGUAGCUAGAGGAAAAGAAAUCUAUUCCGUUAGUAGUGACGAGCGAACGCGGAUCAGGCCAGUGAUAAUAAAAUAAUAACUAGAACUUUCUGGAAAGUUAGACCAAAGUGGGUGAUAGUCCCGUAUAGGUAAAAAGUUUUAUUAUUCUUGAGUAGGGCGGAACACGUGAAAUUUUGUCUGAAUAUGGGAAGACCACUUCCCAAGCCUAAAUACUCCUUAAUGACCGAUAGUGAACAAGUACCGUGAGGGAAAGGUGAAAAGCACCCCGAUAGGGGGAAUGAAAUAGUAUCUGAAACCGAAUGCCUACAAGCAGUCAGAGCUUCUUUAUGAAGUGAUGGCAUACCUUUUGUAUAAUGGGUCAGCGACUUAGUCUGUGCAGCAAGCUUAAGCCAUCAGGUGUAGGCGUAGGGAAACCAAGUCUUAAUAGGGCGUUUUAGUUGUACGGAUUAGACUCGAAGCGGGAUGAGCUUAUUAUGAGCAGGUUGAAGAUGUAGUAACAUACAUCGGAGGACCGAACCAGGAGACGUUGAAAAGUCUUUGGAUGACUUGUGAUAAGGGGUGAAAGGCCAACCAAAUUCCGCUAUAGCUAGUUCUCCGCGAAAAGUAUUUAGGUACUGCGUCGAGCGAAUGUUGUUAGGGGUAAAGCACUAGAUGGGCUAGGGGGAAGCGAUUCCUACCAAACCUAACUAAACUCUGAAUACUAACAAUUAAUACUCGGCAGACAGACUGUAGGUGCUAAGGUCUACAGUCGAGAGGGAAACAGCCCAGAUCACCAGUUAAGGCCCCCAAAUAAUGGCUAAGUGGGAAAGUAUGUAGAAAGUCCAAGACAGGCAGGAGGUUGGCUUAGAAGCAGCCAUCCUUUAAAGAUAGCGUAACAGCUCACUGUUCUAAUUAAGAUUUUCCGCGACGAAGAUGUACCGGGGCUCAAGCCAUUUGCCGAAACUGUGACUUUGUAAGUAUUGCGAUACUUGCAAGGGGUAGCGGAGCGUUCUGUAAGCCGUUGAAGGUAUCUCGAAAGGGGUGCUGGAGGUAUCAGAAGUGCGAAUGCUGACAUGAGUAGCGAUAAAGAGUGUGAGAGACACUCUCGCCGAAAUCCUAAGGUUUCCUGCGUAAAGCUAAUCUGCGCAGGGUUAGUCGACCCCUAAGGCGAGGCAGAAAUGCGUAGUCGAUGGGAAACAGGUUAAUAUUCCUGUACCUGCUGUGAGUUGACGGAUCACGUAAAUUGUAUUUUCUUAUUGGAUUGAGAAUGCAGUGAAGUGGUUCCUGGAAAUAGCCACAGCAUAUAGAUCGUACCACAAACCGACACAGGUAGGAAGGUAGAAUAUACCAAGGCGCUUGAGAGAAUGAUGUUGAAGGAACUCGGCAAAAUGCCCUUGUAACUUCGGAAUAAAAGGGACCAAUUUUUAGGCAACUAUAAAUUGGUGGCACAGAAUAGGGAGAAGCGACUGUUUAUCAAAAACACAGGUCUCUGCUAAGUCGUAAGACGAUGUAUAGGGACUGACGCCUGCCCGGUGCCGGAAGGUUAAAUGGUGGAGUGCAAGCUCUAAAAUGAAGCCCCGGUGAACGGCGGCCGUAACUAUAACGGUCCUAAGGUAGCGAAAUUCCUUGUCAGGUAAGUUCUGACCCGCAUGAAUGGCGUAACGAUUUCUCCGCUGUCUCCAACAUCAACUCAGCGAAAUUGAAUUCUCCGUGAAGAUGCGGAGUACGUGUAGUUAGACGGAAAGACCCCGUGCACCUUUACUAUAGCUUUGCAGUGGUAUUAGGAAAAUAAUGUGUAGGCUAGGUGGUAGACUUUGAAGCAGGAGCGCUAGCUCUUGUGGAGUCAAAAGAUGAAACACCACCCUUUAUUUUUUUGAUAUCUAACCAACAUCCAUUAUCUGGAUGUGGGACCCUGCAUGGUGGGUAGUUUGACUGGGGCGGUCGCCUCCUAAAGAGUAACGGAGGCGCGCGAUGGUAGGCUCAGGCUGGUCGGAAAUCAGCUGUAGAGUGCAAUGGCAUAAGCCUGCCUGACUGCGAGACGUACAUGUCGAGCAGAGUCGAAAGACGGUCAUAGUGAUCCGGUGGUUCCAAGUGGAAGGGCCAUCGCUCAACGGAUAAAAGGUACGCCGGGGAUAACAGGCUGAUACCCCCCAAGAGUCCAUAUCGACGGGGGUGUUUGGCACCUCGAUGUCGGCUCAUCACAUCCUGGGGCUGGAGAAGGUCCCAAGGGUUUGGCUGUUCGCCAAUUAAAGUGGUACGUGAGCUGGGUUCAGAACGUCGUGAGACAGUUCGGUCCCUAUCUGCUAUACGAGUUGGAAAUUUGACAGGAUUUGCCCCUAGUACGAGAGGACCGGGGUGAACGUACCACUGGUGUACCAGUUGUUCCGCCAGGAGCAUCGCUGGGUAGCUAUGUACGGACAGGAUAACCGCUGAAAGCAUCUAAGCGGGAAACCCACCUGAAUACUAGAUUUCCCUAUCAGAGUCGUGGAAGACCACCACGUUGAUAGGUUGGAUGUAGAAGUGCAGUAAUGCAUGAAGCUAACCAAUACUAAUAACUCGAUUGGCUUGAUUAC
rnacentral:rRNA from 1 species